AAGGAUCAUUACCGAGUUAGGGUCCUUUGGGCUCGACCUCCUACCCUUUGUCUACCUUACCUUACGUUGCUUCGGCGGGUCCGUCCUGAAAAGGACCGCCGGAGGGUGGUUUCACCCUCUGGUCCGCGCCCGCCGGUGGCCACCAAUUAAACUCUUGUUAAAACGUGUCGUCUGAAGUAUUAAACAAAAUAAUUAAAAACUUUCAACAACGGAUCUCUUGGUUCUG
rnacentral:misc_RNA from 1 species